rnacentral:rRNA from 1 species
UACGGAGGGUGCGAGCGUUGUCCGGAAUCAUUGGGCGUAAAGGGCGCGUAGGUGGCCCGGUCAGUUCGUGGUGAAAGCGCGGGGCUCAACCCUGCGUCGGCCAUGAAUACUGCCGCGGCUGGAGCACUGUAGAGGCAGGCGGAAUUCCGGGUGUAGCGGUGGAAUGCGUAGAGAUCCGGAAGAACACCGGUGGCGAAGGCGGCCUGCUGGGCAGUUCUGACACUGAGGCGCGACAGCGUGGGGAGCAAACAGG